UGUGGCGCCAGCUGCAUUGCCGGGUACCCACGCUGGGUCAGGAUAAGCGCUGAAAGCAUCUAAGCGCGAAGCCGUCUUCAAGAUGAGAUUUCCAUUGAGGGUCGUGGGAGACUACCACGUUGAUAGGCAGGAGAUGUAAGUGCAGUAAUGUAUUCAGUCGACCUGUACUAAUUGCCCGAUAUCUUUCUCUAG
rfam:Bacteroidales bacterium WCE2008 genome assembly, contig: Ga0070252_13